rnacentral:lncRNA from 1 species
CGUAAAUAGUCAGCAGAAGAAUGAGAUAGCAUCUGUUAACUUGUCUUUUUCCUUUUUUUCUCUACCAGGUAGGAGAAGAAUCCUCACAAUCACUAAUUACCUCGAGAACACUCCUUCAAACUCUGAAUUUAUUAAGUCAAAUUAGAAGCUUCAGUUUUAUUCUGGGAUUUUCAACAAGUUUCUGUCAUACAGGUAAGAUAAAUAUGAAAUAAUUUAUAUGGUUUUAUGU